rnacentral:rRNA from 1 species
AUGCACGCUGGCGGCGUGCUUAACACAUGCAAGUCGAACGAAGCACUUAUCUUUGAUUCUUCGGAUGAAGAGGUUUGUGACUGAGUGGCGGACGGGUGAGUAACGCGUGGGUAACCUGCCUCAUACAGGGGGAUAACAGUUAGAAAUGACUGCUAAUACCGCAUAAGACCACGGAGCCGCAUGGCUCAGUGGGAAAAACUCCGGUGGUAUGAGAUGGACCCGCGUCUGAUUAGGUAGUUGGUGGGGUAACGGCCUACCAAGCCAACGAUCAGUAGCCGACCUGAGAGGGUGACCGGCCACAUUGGGACUGAGACACGGCCCAAACUCCUACGGGAGGCAGCAGUGGGGAAUAUUGCACAAUGGGGGAAACCCUGAUGCAGCGACGCCGCGUGAGCGAAGAAGUAUUUCGGUAUGUAAAGCUCUAUCAGCAGGGAAGAAAAUGACGGUACCUGACUAAGAAGCACCGGCUAAAUACGUG